rnacentral:rRNA from 1 species
UACAGAGGUCUCGAGCGUUAGGCGGAAUCACUGGGCUUAAAGCGUGUGUAGGCGGAUCGUUAAGUACCUUGUGAAAUCCCACGGCUCAACCGUGGAACUGCUGGGUAUACUGGCGAUCUUGAGCCACCUAGGGGCGAGCGGAACAAGCGGUGGAGCGGUGAAAUGCGUAGAUAUCGCUUGGAACGCCAACGGUGAAAACAGCUCGCUGGGGGUGUGCUGACGCUGAGACACGAAAGCCAGGGGAGCGAACGGG